UACGAAGGGGGCUAGCGUUGCUCGGAUUGACUGGGCGUAAAGGGCGCGUAGGCGGCGGACACAGUCAGACGUGAAAUUCCUGGGCUCAACCUGGGGGCUGCGUUUGAUACAUGUUCGCUUGAGUUCGGAAGAGGGUCGUGGAAUUCCCAGUGUAGAGGUGAAAUUCGUAGAUAUUAGGAAGAACACCAGUGGCGAAGGCGGCUCACUGGCCCGGUACUGACGCUGAGGCGCGAAAGCGUGGGGAGCAAACAGG
rnacentral:rRNA from 1 species